rnacentral:tRNA from 2 species
GCCGGUGUAGCUCAGUGGUAGAGCAGCUGUUUCGUAAACAGCAGGUCGUCGGUUCGAGACCGACCACCGGCUCCA